UGUCAUUUUUAUAGUUUUGUUCAACUGUUUUAUCUCCCCUAAAGACUUAAGCUGUGUACUGUCUCCUGUUUUUGUUUCUCUACAGAUGAGAAGGACUCUCAUAUCUUGUGUAUUUCUUGAGUGGAGCUCUAACUUUUACCAUCAUCCUUAAUGUCCUUCUGGUUUUCUUACUUUGCAUGAUGAACAAGAGAAACCGCUGUGAAGUAACCGAGUCUCAUGCAAGAUGUUCAGCUCCCUCCACACCAAAUGCAGAGGGUGAACGAAAUGAAUCAAACAUCCAAUAUGCGGUGGUAAGAGAACAAAAGAUCAGCAGAUCUAGAAGACAAAGAAACAACCUUGAGACUGAAUGCACAUACUCAACUAAAAGCAGGAGUGUACGUGCUUCAAAGGGGUACCAAGCAGACCUAUGAGACGCUGAGGUCAUUUUAUCACUGUCUUUCUUGUGACUACAUGUUGAAGCUGCAACUGAUACUCCUUUCUGAAAAGAUGUGCUGAUCUCAAGUUUACGUGAGAUAACUCUAUGAAUCCAGGCUGUUCAUGAAGGAAAGGAAAAAAACUGGAUGGAAGGUAUGACAUAAACAGUUACAAAACUAAAAUUUGAUUUAAGACCUUGGGCGGGUGUGGCAGAGUCAACAUGCCUUUGGCUUUAAGUUACACGAGUCUGAGUCCAUAUACACAUUCAUUGGCUCUCUAUCUGAAGGGCUUUUGUUCGUCGGCUUGCUGCUGUGAGUUAUUUGUUAAACUUGAAUCAAACAUGAUGGUGGUUUUGGGAAAAUGUGUUGAAAAACCACACACAAAUAUCCCAGAUCACCUGAUAUUUUUUUGUGUCACAUGUAACAUGUGACGUAAAAGUCCUUUUGGACAGAAUGUUAGGAGUGAAAAUUAAAUACUAAUUGUUUCAAUUGUGUUUCAAUGUGAAAUAGUAACUUUUUGUGCAGUG